rfam:Rattus norvegicus chromosome 6, whole genome shotgun sequence.
GGGGAUUUAGCUCAGUGGUAGAGCGCUUGCCUAGCAAGCACAAGGCCCUGGGUUCGGUCCCCAGCACCG